UUUCCUUUCUUCUUCCCCGAAACACCAAGCACGCAACAGUUAUUUUUUUUUUUUCUCCCCACCGGCCGUCCCUCUCUCUCUUCCGUGUUUUCAAAUUCCGGCCACCCAUAGCCCUCACGCGCCAGCCACCAAGGAAGCCCGCCACCUCACGAGCUUGGCCGCCAAGUUUCACGGCCAGCCGCCGCCGGACGCGCGCCGAUCGGGCCGGAGAAGCCGCCGGCCGGCCAAGUUUCUCUCUCCUCUUUUCUUGUGUUUUCCGGCCAGCCCACUCCCAAUUGAGCCUCCUAUCCCCCUAUUUUGGGUCCUCUGAAUCCAAAAAUGGCCUCCAAUCCCAGAAAUUCGAAGCGGUUUGCGAGAUAUGGGGAAGUGAACACCGGCCGAAACUUUCCGACCAAAUUCCGGCCACCUCCGGCGGAAUUGAGGUCGACGGAGACCGGAUUUGUGAUCCUCGUCCCACGAGCUUCGAUUCGGAGCACCGGUGAGUCGUAGAAUUGAUCCCGUAGUGGAUCAUGGGUUAAUUGCGUGCUCCAGGUUCCAGGUUGUCGGUGUUCAUUCGGAGCGGACUUGAUCUUCCUCGCUGUUUUACUUCGUGAAGUACCCUGUUAUUCUUUUAUUGCAGUUGUAAUAUUUCUUUCACUCUUGUUGUAUUUAUUUUGCACUGGAUUACUGUAUUUAUUUUUUUUAAGUGCUGCAAUUUGUGGAACCAAUUUGUAGUUUGUGGGAGGAAUAAGGGGAUAUUUUUGAAGUGUGUUUUCAGUGCAGGUAAAUUUGUGGUAAGUAAAUCCCUUAGGGGAGGUGCUGCCGGAUUUUCCGUUGGAAGGUUCGGUGGUAUUUCCCUGGGAUCAGGGCUGUCUAGGGUUCCGGAGGAGGAAUUCUGGACGGGU